rnacentral:lncRNA from 1 species
CAGGGUCUGAGGCAAGCAGGCCUCACCCUCUGUCAACAGGAAGCCUGCAGGAAUGCAAAGCAGAGGUUACCUGGGACAUCCUGAAACGGGACAGCGGAAGAAUGGGCUUGUACGUAAUUGCGCCAAGUCAGAGGUGAGUCUCCCUUUCGGGCUACAGGAUCUAUGACUGCAUGUGCCACACUGCAGUGUGACUUGCCAACUGUCUGACUAAGUCCAUGCUCAUAUUUUGCCCAUUGUUCUCCCUCAAAGGUCCUCAUCAGGUGCAAGGAUGGGCUUUAUUUCAUUUUGGCUAUACAAACUUCACUCCAGUACAAAAAGUAUGUAACCCUUAACAAAGAAACAAGAGCAUCAGUCUAUUGGUUUAUCAGUUUUGGUUUCUGCUCCUUUCUCAAUGUUUUCAAUCUUAGACUCAAUUCCCAAAGAGUUUAUUUGCAUAGAAGUUUGGGAAUUGCAGCUCUGUUGGGGGAACAAGGAAUCUUCUAACAGCUCUCAGUGACGUUAACAAAUCACAGUUCCCAGGUUUUUUUGGGGGGAAGCCAUGACUGUUUAAUGUGUAAAGUGCAGAUGGAGACUUAAAGGUAAAGGGACCCCUGACCAUUAGGUCCAGUCAAGACCAACUCUGGGGUUGCGGCACUCAUCUUGCUUUACUGGCUGAGGGAGCCGGUGUACAGCUUCCGGGUCAUGUGGCCAGCAUGACUAAGCCACUUCUGGCGAACCAGAGCAGCGCACGGAAACACCGUUUACCUUCCCACUGAAGCGGUACCUAUUUAUCUACUUGCACUUUGACGUGCUUUCAAACUGCUAGGUUGGCAGCAGCAGGGAUCGAGCAACAGGAGCUCACCCUGUCACGGGGAUUCGAACCGCCGACCUUCUGAUCGGCAAGUACUAGGCUCUGUGGUUUAACCCACAGCACCACCCAGAUGGAGACUUACUCUCCCUUUAUUACUCUCGUCUCAGAUUACCGUAUCUACUGAGGGCUACAACAGACAGACGGGGAGCCAUCAUUUUGUGACUCUCUAAAGCAGGAGUAGGGAAUAAUUUUCAGCUGGAGGGAUGCACCCCUUUCUGGGCAGCUGUCCUGGGGGGGCACAUACCAGUAGUGGGUGGGGACCAAAAAGAGGCAGAGUUAUGAACAUGCAGUAGACUAGUUUCUUCUCUCUCUCUCUCUCUCUCUCUCUCUCUCUCUCUCUCUCACACACUCACUCACACACACACACACACACACACACACACACACACAACUUAGUAACACCCAAGUAAGCAAGAAACCCCAUCAGAAUUCAAACUCAAGGAGAGUGUGAAGCACAGCCCGUGGGGCCUGGGGACAGUCCCAAGGGCCACAUCGAGAGGCAUUCGGCCCCCCAAGCCCGACAACCCCCCACCCCUGCUGCAAAGUUCUGUGUGUAUCGGUAACAUUUCAUGAAGUCUAAAAGUUAUGCACAGUAAUGCAUAUGGAAUACAGUGGUACCUCGAGUUACAAACGCCUCAGGUUACAAGACGCUUCAGGUUACAAACUCUGCUAACUUGGAAGAGUUACCUCGAGUUGAGAACUUUGCCCCAGGAUGAGAACGGAAAUUGUGCACCGGCAGCACAGCGGCAGCAAGAGGCCCCAUUAGCAAAAGCACACCUCUAAGUUAAGAACAGUUUCAGGUUAAGAACAGACCUCUGGAACGAAUUAAGUUCGUAACUAGAGGUACCACUGUAUAGAAUUAUUUAUCUCUUUGGCCACAAAAAAUUGAUGACCUCAAAGGUUAUCUCGUCUAGUCCUUUGCCUGCAUAGGAAAUCGACUGUUCUUGGUCUUGCACCAGAAAUGAAGGAAGCUUUGUGUAGAUGGAUGCUUGUUGCAGAGGGUCAUCUUUGGAAUAAAUGGGGUAACUUGCAAAGUAUGGAGGGGACUUGAUCCAAUUGGCCCCCCUUCUUUGCCAUGUUUUGCAUCAUUUGCAUCAGGCUUUGCAUCGAGUUCAAGGUGUUACUAUUGGCAUAUGUAAAACCAGUUUACCUAUGAAAUUGCCUUGCCCCACUGGCGCCCACCCAAUCACUUGGGCCCGUUUGCAGGGCUCACACAAUUUCCGCUCCACAGUCCUUUCGUGUGGCAGCUGCUCCCUCCCUUUCAGAUCAAGCAGGUCGCUUCCCAGUAUUCUUUCCAGCGGCUUCUAAAAACAUCCUUGUUUAGAAAAGCCUACCCAGAAAUUUAGAAAGCUGCUGUGAAUUUUAACCUGUUCUAGUAUUUUAACUUUCUGUAUGUUUUAAAGUCUUGUAGGUUUUUCCUUGUUUUAUUGUUUUAGCUUCUGAGGCUUUUCCUUCUUUCUUUCAACCAGGCAGUGCAUACAUUUCAUGACAUACAUAAAUACAGUGAUACCUCGAGUUACAAACGCCUCAGGUUACAAACGCUUCGGGUUACAAACUCCGCUAACCUAGAAGAGUUACCUCAAGUGGAGAACUUUGCCCCAGGGUGAGAACGAAAAUCGUGUGCCAGCAGCGCAGUGGCAGCAAGAGGCCCCAUUAGCGAAAGCACACUUAUAGUUAAGAACAGUUUCAGGUUAAGAACGGACCUCCGGAACGAAUGAAGUUCGUAACUAGAGGUACCACUGUAGAUAAAUUGGAAGAGAAGGCUAUUCCGGCAUCCGUCCACCUCUCCACAAAACCUGUUUGACUCUUCUAUUUUCCUCUUCAUCAGUCCAUGAUGCUAAUCACUCAACACAGUUCGCUCAAGACAAAAGGUACGCACAGGCACAGCAAACGAGCGAACCGUGUUGAGUGAUUAGCAUCAUGGACUGAUGAAGCUUGCUGCGAAACCUGGAUAAUAUCCGGAGAAUAGGUCUCAUCUAUUUGGCUUCAAUUGAUCAUUUGGCUUUGUGCUUCCAGCUAACGACCACUUGAAGAAUGCUUUCAGGAAAUCGCUCCUACGUUUAUUGCUUUGUGCUUCCAGUGAAUGACUAUUUGUUCCAGCUUUGUUGUGAUAUAUUUAUCGCAUACAGAACCAGUACACCAACGAGAGAGACACUGGUACAUUCUAUGUUCAUGAGUAUCUCCAGGCUUGAUUAUGCACCUUGCACUUUAGUUUGUCACAUGAAAGAUUGUUUUUUCCUGCUCUGGAGGGUAGGACUUGAACCAGUGGCUUCAAAUUACAGUGGUACCUCAGGCUACAAACGCUUCAGGUUACAGACUCCGCUAACCCAGAAAUAGUACCUCGGGUUAAGAACUUUGCUUCAGGAUGAGAACAGAAAUCGUGCAGCGUCGGCACAGUGGCAGCGGGAGGCCCCAUUAGCUAAAGUGGUACCUCAGGUUAAGAACAGACCUCCAGAACGAAUUAAGUUCUUAACCCGAGGUACCACUGUACUCAUUGUCUAGUUGGCUUAUGAGGGUAUAUAUUUAUUCCAUUAAAAUUGUUCUUUAUAUUCAUAAGCCAGUUCUGUUUGUUUUUCUGUUUGUUUGUGUUAUUGUUAUAACACCUGAUACUUUUUGUGUAUACUUACUGUAAAAACUUCAUGGUGAAUACCAGUACUGUUUUUUCUUUUUUUAGGAAAAGCACCGAUCAGAAGCAAAGUCCUCACUUCUCAUUUAUUGGUUUCUUCUUCCCGCCAGACAAACCAAUUCAGACUCGAGUGUCUCCUUCCUGAUUGAGAUCACGGGGCUAAAAAUAAAUAAAGAAAUAAUCCCCACCCCCAAAGCC